rnacentral:rRNA from 1 species
CUCUUUUUGAAUUUAAUUUAAAGUUUGGCCUGCCCACUGAUAUUUGAAGGGCCGCAGUAUUUUGACUGUGCAAAGGUAGCAUAAUCAUUAGUUUUUUAAUUGAAAGCUUGUAUGAAGGGUUUGAUGAGAAAAUUACUGUUUCAAAUUUAAUAUUAGAAUUUUAUUUUUAAGUUAAAAAGCUUAAAUUAAAUUUAAAGACGAGAAGACCCUAUAGAGUUUAACUAAAAAUUAUUUUAUUAAUUUAAGAAUUUUGGUUUAAUAAUUUAAUUUAAGUUUUGUUGGGGUGAUAGAAAAAUUUAAUUAACUUUUUUUAAAUUAAUACAAUGAUAAUUGAUUUUUUGAUCCAUAAAAAUGAUUAAAAGAAUAAAUUACCUUAGGGAUAACAGCGUAAUCUUUUUAAUAGUUCUUAUUGAAAAAAAGGUUUGCGACCUCGAUGUUGGAUUAAAAUUUAUUUUUGGUGAAGAAGCUAAAAUAUUAGGUCUGUUCGACCUUUGAAAUUUUACAUGAUCUGAGUUUAAACCGGUGUAAGCCAGGUUGGUUUCUAUCUUAAAUAAAAAAAAUAUUUUAGUACGAAAGGAUCAAAUAUUAUAUUAAAAAUAUAGUUUAAGAAUUUUAUUUUGGCAGAUUAGUGCAAAGGAUUUAGAAUCUUUAAAUGUAUAUUAUACAAAUAAAAAUUGAUUUAAUUUUAGUUUUACUUAAUUUUUUAAUUUUAUUAGUUAGAGUUUUAGUAGGAGUUGCAUUUUUAACAUUAUUAGAACGAAAGUUAUU